rnacentral:rRNA from 1 species
CAGCCGCCGCGGGAAUACGAAGGGGGCUAGCGUUGUUCGGAUUUACUGGGCGUAAAGGGCGCGUAGGCGGACUGAUAAGUCAGGGGUGAAAUCCCAAGGCUCAACCUUGGAACUGCCUUUGAUACUGUUUGUCUUGAGUUCGAGAGAGGUAAGUGGAACUGCGAGUGUAGAGGUGAAAUUCGUAGAUAUUCGCAAGAACACCAGUGGCGAAGGCGGCUUACUGGCUCGAAACUGACGCUGAGGCGCGAAAGCGUGGGGAGCAAACAGGAUUAGAUACCCGCGUAGUCCCUGUCUCUUAUAA